rnacentral:rRNA from 1 species
UACGUAGGGGGCAAGCGUUGUCCGGAAUCAUUGGGCGUAAAGAGCUCGUAGGCGGUCUGUCGCGUCGGCUGUGAAAACCCGGGGCUCAACCCCGGGCCUGCAGUCGAUACGGGCAGACUAGAGUGCGGUAGGGGAGACUGGAAUUCCUGGUGUAGCGGUGAAAUGCGCAGAUAUCAGGAGGAACACCGAUGGCGAAGGCAGGUCUCUGGGCCACUACUGACGCUGAGAAGCGAAAGCAUGGGGAGCGAACAGG